AGCUCCAAUAGCGUAUACUAAUGUUGUUGCAGUUAAAAGCUCGUAGUCGGAUUUCAGUGCUCGGUGAGCCGUCACUCUGUGUCGGUCUUUCCUGCACUUCUUUAACGGCGGUACAUAUCGCCUUAAUUGGUGGUGUGUUUUCGCUGUUUCUUUUACUUUGAGAAAAUUAGAGUGUUCAAAGCAGGUAUUACGCCUGAAUAUUACUCUUGGAAUAAUAACAUAUGACUUUAGUUUUAUUUGUUGGUGUAUAAGGACUGAAGUAAUGAUUGCCAGGGACGGUUGGGCCAUUCGUACUGCAAAGCGAGAGGUGAAAUUCUUGGACCUUUG
rnacentral:rRNA from 1 species